rnacentral:rRNA from 1 species
GAUGAACGCUGGCGGCGUGCCUAACACAUGCAAGUCGAGCGAACGGACGAUAAGCUUGCUUCUCUGCUGUUAGCGGCGGACGGGUGAGUAACACGUGGAUAACCUACCUAUAAGACUGGGAUAACUUCGGGAAACCGGAGCUAAUACCGGCUAAUAUUUUGAACCGCAUGGUUCAAAAGUGAAAGACGGUCUUGCUGUCACUUAUAGAUGGAUCCGCGCUGCAUUAGCUAGUUGGUAAGGUAACGGCUUACCAAGGCAACGAUGCAUAGCCGACCUGAGAGGGUGAUCGGCCACACUGGAACUGAGACACGGUCCAGACUCCUACGGGAGGCAGCAGUAGGGAAUCUUCCGCAAUGGGCGAAAGCCUGACGGAGCAACGCCGCGUGAGUGAUGAAGGUCUUCGGAUCGUAAAACUCUGUUAUUAGGGAAGAACAUAUGUGUAAGUAACUGUGCACAUCUUGACGGUACCUAAUCAGAAAGCCACGGCUAACUACGUG